GAUGAACGCUGGCGGCGUGCCUAAUACAUGCAAGUCGAGCGAACGGACGAGAAGCUUGCUUCUCUGAUGUUAGCGGCGGACGGGUGAGUAACACGUGGAUAACCUACCUAUAAGACUGGGUUAACUUCGGGAAACCGGAGCUAAUACCGGAUGAUAUUUUGAACCGCAUGGUUCAAAAGUGAAAGACGGUCUUGCUGUCACUUAUAGAUGGAUCCGCGCUGCAUUAGCUAGUUGGUAAGGUAACGGCUUACCAAGGCAACGAUGCAUAGCCGACCUGAGAGGGUGAUCGGCCACACUGGAACUGAGACACGGUCCAGACUCCUACGGGAGGCAGCAGUAGGGAAUCUUCCGCAAAGGGCGAAAGCCUGACGGAGCAACGCCGCGUGAGUGAUGAAGGUCUUCGGAUCGUAAAACUCUGUUAUUAGGGAAGAACAUAUGUGUAAGUAACUGUGCACAUCUUGACGGUACCUAAUCAGAAAGCCACGGCUAACUACGUG
rnacentral:rRNA from 1 species